GUGCUCACUUUAGCAGCACAUACACUAAAAUUGGAAUGAUAUAGAGCGAUUAGCAUGGCCCCUCCUCAAGGAUGACAUGCAAAUUUGUGAAGCAUUCCAUGAAAAU
ensembl:snRNA U6 U6 spliceosomal RNA